GGGGAUGAACGGUCUCGACGGGGCAGGCUGUUCAGAAAUGGCAGGCCGUAGAGCGUCGACUACGUAAAAACAGGCGCAACCAUACAAAUGCCAAAAACACUGGCAAGGCUUUUGCAUUCGGCGCACCGGCCACUUCGAUGGCCCUCGCCGCCUGAUCUGAAGCCAACCAACUGACCUUCUGCGGAAGGUCACGGCUCGCUUCGAUGGUGCGACCAGGUCAAGCGUCAGCCGUCACCAACUGGAACGCUGCGGCGACAAACGCCGGUGCUGUCGCUUAAGGUCAACCGGCUGAUCUGAUAGUGAAUCCUGUUGCACGGAGUCCGUCAGAUGACAACAAAUAGUGCAACUAAGCCUGUAGAGGUUUCUGGACGAAUGUUUCGGACGCGGGUUCAACUCCCGCCAUCUCCACC
rnacentral:tmRNA from 1 species